UGAUAAAAGAUGGUCAGUUGCAUACCCUAAAGCUCACAAAGGAGAAAAAGCUGUGGCCAAACCAAUAAGCGACUGUCCUACCUACAAUUAUGUGCAAGAUGUUCUGACUGAGUGUCUGAGACUUCGCAAAGAUUUCAACACCACAAAAAUAGCAUUGGAGAAUGCAAAAACAUUGCUUCCGAAAGAACCUCCCUCACUUGUGGAAACAUACUUGUGUGGGAAGCAAAGGCAGCCAAAAAAUGAAGUCAUUCUUCGCAGACACAGUAGAUUUACAACGCCUGCUUUGCCCGACGAUAAAAUAAAUGACAAAGUAUGUCUUUGCAAGGGAAAA